UUCAAACUCAAAGAACUGUCCAGGCCCCUUCUCUUCCGCACCGCACGCACUAUGUUGACUUCACAAGGAGCGUGACACUGUUAGCGAAGACCUGGUUACCAAAAUAUACUGCAACCUUCCGAGAAGAGGAAAGCAAAGACUCCGCAAAUCCGCAGCAAGUCUCGGUUGUUCUGACUUGCCGAUGAAUACACCACUAUACACGUACUGUAGCGCGGAGCGUAUCACUUGGCAGAGGAUACUACUGCGGUUAUGAAGUCAACAGUCAACACACCUGCAGGCAUAUCGCAUCCACCGAUCACCGAUCACCGAUACAUCCCAGUACGUCAAACAUCUUGCUGUACUCGCCCUACGUCCCUGGCGCUGCCUGGAAACUGCACAACACCUUCCUGCACCCGACAAGCACGGCGGGGUUCGCUAUCACCGUCCCUGCCAUAGCCGCCGCUGCUGAACCUGAGCCAGGCUGGUGAUCGGAAUUCGAACUGCAAGCAAUGUCAAUAAUUCAAACAUGAGCCGAAGUUGCAAUGCCCAUGAGGAUUGCAAUCCCCUCCAAGGCCGAUGUCCAACAACUCUCACUCAAUGAACUAUUGGAUAAUGGACUGUGGACAAUUCUCUCGUUCAACUGAA